CCUUGACAGAGAUCAUAUUCAUUUUUGUUUGAAUACAUAUUUUCUGUUCUUUUCUGUAUCUAUUUAGGAAUGUAAAGGUUGAGUAGUAUAGUAAGUCUAUAGUCUACUUUUUGAGGAAAUGGCUAAGUAUUUCACCCAGAGGCUGCACCAUGUGUAAGGUUUCCAGUUUCUCUGCAUCCUUACCAGCACUUGUUACCUUAAAUUAUAUUGAUGAUAGGUACUGUAGUAGGAGUGAAGGAGAACCUCACUGUGGUUGUAGUUUGCCUUUGCUUAAUGGCUGAGGUGUUAAGCAUGUUUGUGUUUUCAUGUGGAAGGGGUAGGGUAUUUGUUUCACAUUCUGACUCUGGUAUUUGUCUGAGUCAUCACUUCUCAGUGUCAACGUUCACUGAGAUGAUGGCCCACAGGACCAUGGUCAUUCAGUUAAGAGAGGAAAAGUCACAUCUAGCUGUUGAAUUCUCUCAUCCCUAAGUUUGUAACAGCUGGACCUGCUCACAGCACUCCUUGCCAUUCCGCAUGCUACAGAUCAUCAACAGCCUGUGUUAGUUACUUUUUGCUUUGCUGAGACAGAAUACCCGAUGCCUGAAGUUAAAAGAGGGAGGGUGUAUUUCAGCUCAUAGCUUGGAGACAUUUCAGUCUAUGGUCGGUUGGCUCCAAGGCAGGGAGGCAGGGCAGAGGGGCAUCACAGAAGAGAAACAGCUCCAAGGCAGAGGUGGCAGCUUCUCCCUUUAUCCCUUCUCAGGUACCUGCCUUUUGGGUGGUGCAGGGUGGGCCUUCCCAUUAUCCACACCCAGAACUAUGCUAAACCAAAGUGGACUAGUUUAGUAAUCAUGUACCCUUAAUCCCAGUAUCAUACCCUUGACCCCAGCAUCAUACACAACAGAGCCAGCCACCUCCAUAAAGCCCACUGUGACCUCAUGAGGCUUUGGGGGGAGAUCUAGAUAGAAGCCAUAAGAAGCCCCUUGCUUGACCAGCUGCUGCAUGUGAACACAUCACAUUUUUAUUCAGCUGGAAGGAGGUCAUCAGCGUAGGGAGAAAAAUGCCCACUGACACCACUUAGACCUUGUCCCUCCACCACAUUUCCCCCUGACCUAGACAUGUAUUUUCUGGCCCAAAGUCCACUAGGUGAGUGCACGCUAUUCUCCCCGGCCCAGAGUCACCUCUGCUUGAACUCUUAUACCUGUGGGGUACAUGACCUUUUCACAGCUCCUACUUCCUUGCUGAUUUGUUGAUUCUUGUUAAAAUCAUCCCCGGCCUCACAUCCUGGACCUUUUUGCUCUGGGGUUUGUCAGGGCAGCCCUCAGUUUUCACUGGCUGCGGGAUUCCCACUCUUCCUUUUUUGCCCUUUCACAGCUCAGGGCAGCCCCAAGUUCUGCAGACCACAGGCUCCUCCUGAGCCCUCUCCACCUGCACGUUCCUUCCUGUCCCCAUUUUAGGAGACUCCUCUGCCCCCAGGGAAGUGACUUGAGCCCUUGUGUCCAUGACUUCCAAAUCCCAUCCCACUGCCUUUGUUUUCUAGUAUGCUUUUCCCCUGUCACCCUACUGGGAAGUGAGCUCUUCUGGGCAGGUGCUUCUUUAUUUCAUCCCUGUGUACCCACAGAUGGGGAGGGAGGAGGAGGUGAGGAGCAGAAACCAAGACAGGGAAAACAGGAGAGUGACACAGAGGGUAAUAGAAGGCAAGUAACUGGACAGGAUCCUAUGGUUGGAGAGGAAUAGAAAAGAGACCCAGCCCUGUAUUUCUGGCACUCAGACAGGAAUGUGACACUUUGGGGCUUCUUUUGAGGGAAGACAGCACUGACCGAGGAGAGGGAAGCCACUCUGAUCACAGAGUAAAUGAGUUUUCUUGAAUAGGGGUAAGUACCAUAAUUGCUAGUGGCCAAGGGUACAGUUUGAGAAGAUGUUUCUUCCUUUGUGAGACACGGAUUGCUGUGUAAUCGUGGUCAACUCAUCCUCUGGGCUGUUGAAGUUUUGUGUGUUGUUGCCAUUGUGUUAUGCAAAACCUUCCAGCCUUGUGGGUCUGGGCCCCAUGAUAGAACCCGAGGAGGUCAGGUGUUUGGACUGCUGAGGAGUUGCAUAAGGGUAGAGGUAAAAAAGAUGGGAGAAUAAAUGCAGAUCACAUUUUCAUUGAGAGAUAGGCAGAGUUAAUCCUACACUGUAGUCUGGGCCAACAUCUUCUUUGUUGUUGCUUUCAUUGGUGUACACUUACGAUUCAUAAUAGUUGCAGUUAUCCUGGGGAAUUGGCACAUGUACGUAUUGCACCUUAAUCAUUUUCACUUUCCCUUUCCCUCCCAAUCUUCCCCUCUUUCCAAUCCCAGGUCCCCUUCUCUUCUCCUCAAAAUCUACAUCCCCUUUUCAUUUCACCUUUCUUUUAUGUAGCUCUUUAAGUUAGGUUUAGUUUUUCCUAUAAAGGAAACUAUUCAAUAUUUAACCCUUUGUGUCUGGUUUAUUUCACUUAGCGUUAUAGUCUCAGGAUGCAUCCAUUUUUCCACAAAUGAAUCAAAUUUAUCUCUUUUUUGAGACAGGAUCUCACUAUAGUUCAUGCUUGCCUUGAACUGGCUGUGAAGACCAGGCUAACCUCGAUCUCACAGUAAUCUUCCUGCCUCAGACUCCUCAGUGAAAUUUAUCUCUCUGUAUUGGCCUCACUGAGUCACUGAGUUGCCCACACUGGGCUUGAACUUGUGGGUGACAUGAAAUUCGCACUGUCUGUCCUUCUGGGAAGGCCAGAACUGAAAUCCCAGGAGGCUCAGGCAGCAUUGGUUGGUGAGAGACAGGGAUGGAUGGGGGAGUGAGCCCUCUUGUGAACUCUGGAUGGGGAGUGUGAAGACCAGUCUGUUUAGUUAGUCUGAUUUCAUGCUAUGGAUUUCUGACCCCCACGCUAGGUCCUUCUGCCCCCUUGUGCAGUUGUGGAACCAGUGAACGAGGAGAAAAUUCUGUUUUGGCCUAAAAUAGGAGAAGUGGGAGGGCGU
rnacentral:lncRNA from 1 species